rnacentral:lncRNA from 1 species
AUGGGAAUGCUUAGACACCAGAUGGCAAAUGUUCCAAACAGGAUGUUCAGCUGUGUUUUCUUUUCAUCAAAUUUCUUAUCUCAUGACGUGGGUUCAUCGGAAGAAAAUAAUUUCCAUCUUAAACUCAUCUCUUUCCAAGGCCUUUGCUAUUUAAGACUCAUAUGCCAGCAAUGGAACACCUACACUUUUCUACCAAAAAAAGAAAAGAGAAUGAGAUAUAAGAGGUUGGUGACCAUCUGCAAAGCCUAGUAUGCUAUUAAAGAGGAGCCUGAAGUGCUUUGGCAGGGAAGAAACUCUGGAAACUUCCACCUGAAUCGGACUCUGGUGUGUGAGGACAGUAAUACCACCUUGUGGAUCCUGAGAGAUACAACCUUUAGGUGUUCAUUAAGACUUUGCAGGGUCUAUGAGGCUUAAAAACAGACAGUCACUUACUCAAAUUUCCUUCUGAAAACAAGUAUAAUUCUAGUUUGGCUGCUCUUGAUCAGAAGUUCUGAAGAUCCCAAUUGCUGAUUUUAUCUAUGUCAGAGUCUUGCACCUGCAUUACUUACACUCAGGACAAUAAGAAAAAAAAGGAGAAUGUUCACAAAUCAGGACUCUGAAGGAUUCCUGAAGAGGGCAGGCCAGUUCAAAGACAUUUUCAGGAACAUAAUUAGGAAGUGGAUUAAUUCUUAAGAAACGUUCUACAAUGAAUGAUGGAUAGGUAAUCUUGAUGUUAUGAAGGACUACACUGAAAUUUAACUAUUUUGUCUUGUUAAAACAAGUAGAACGUAGAAAAGCCUGUGUUAGAACUUCACCUCUGUUGGCUCUCCAGAAGCCAAUUAAUUGUUCUCCAGAAAAAUUAAUGCUCCCCUACAAUAAAUAAAACAAGCUUUCACA